rnacentral:rRNA from 1 species
GCAGCCUGCAACUCGGCUGCAUGAAGCUGGAAUCGCUAGUAAUCGCGGAUCAGAAUGCCGCGGUGAAUACGUUCCCGGGUCUUGUACACACCGCCCGUCACACCAUGGGAGCCGGAAACGCCCGAAGCCAGCGGCCCAACCGCAAGGAGGGAGCUGUCGAAGGCGGGUCCGGUGACCGGGGUGAAGUCGUAACAAGGUAUC